rnacentral:rRNA from 1 species
AGUGAACGCUGGCGGUAGGCCUAACACAUGCAAGUCGAACGGCAGCACAGUAAGAGCUUGCUCUUACGGGAGGCGAGUGGCGGACGGGUGAGGAAUACAUCGGAAUCUACUUUUUCGUGGGGGAUAACGUAGGGAAACUUACGCUAAUACCGCAUACGACCUACGGGUGAAAGCAGGGGAUCUUCGGACCUUGCGCGAUUGAAUGAGCCGAUGUCGGAUUAGCUAGUUGGCGGGGUAAAGGCCCACCAAGGCGACGAUCCGUAGCUGGUCUGAGAGGAUGAUCAGCCACACUGGAACUGGGACACGGUCCAGACCCCUGAGGGAGGCAGCAGUGGGGAAUAUUGGGGAAUGGGCGGAAGCCUGAUCCAGCCAUACCGCGUGGGUGAAGAAGGCCUUCGGGUGUAAAGCCCUUUUGUUCGGAAAGAAAAGCAGCAGGUUAAUACCCCGCUGUUCUGACGGUACCCAAAGAAUAAGCACCGGCUAACUUCGUG